GGCCUGGUGGUCUAGUAGUAUGAUUCCUUCUUAGGGUUGUCCCCGCCAAGGUGACGCCAGCAUGGAGGAGGUCCCGGGUUCAAUUCCCGGCCAGGCCC
rnacentral:tRNA from 1 species